rnacentral:lncRNA from 1 species
AUGUGUUUAUUUAUAUUUAUAAAUAUUUUUAGAUGUAUGUACAAUAAUAUUUACAAAUUGAAAUUUAAGUGUGAAAAAAAAAACUUGAGUUCAUCUGAGAGCAUUUUCAGAACAGUUCAUUCCAUGUUCCAUCAUGUGGGAGAGAGAAGAGAAGAGAAUUCACUUUUGCACAACCACACAAAAUGCUGAAUUGGUUUUUCUUAUUCGAUUAAACAAGCUCUAAAUAAUGUAACACAAGAUAUGGAAGUUAAGUAUAAACAACAAUGAGAAAAUAAUAAUCUUAAGUCUGAGAGUGAGGAGAGAUUAUUAACGAUCGAGUUGAAAGGAUGCCCUUCCCAUUGAUUGAGUAUUUUUGUACGUCUUGCUACAUCGGUCCCCCCCAAUGAGUCAAGAAUGGCAUAUACAUUCUGUAACGUUGUGAGAGCCACAAAAAUGUUUAUGAAACAGGACAACACAAUUAAUGGUCCUAUUUAGUCUAUUUAAUUUUCUGAGAAAACGUGAUUUGAAAUAUUACAAGAAUACAAUUCGUGUCUGCUGUAUUUCCCAGCACCUUCCAUUUUUCUUCUUUCCCACUUAUACUUGCAAGUUGUAACUACGUAUUCUUACUCGUGUGUUGUUGUUGGUGUGUGUGUGUUUGAUCUAAGAGUAACAUUUUGUGACUAUUCAAUUCACAUUAGGGUCUGUUCAUCAUGCUCUCUUCCCAUUUUUCUCAAUUACUUUUCCAACACUUACUUACAAUUUUGACCAUUUAUAUGUGAGCGAAUUUCUUAAAUUAGUCAGACUUUAGGUCUAGAGAUUUUAAAAUUUUCUGUUAAUUCUUAACUUUACAAAAAAAAAACAUUCACUUUAGUUCUAUUUUAUACAAAAUGAUAACUAAAAUAAAAUGAAUGAAUUUUUAUAAAGUAAAAAAUUUAUGAAAAGAUAAAUAUUUUUUUAGUGACUAAAGUGUCUAAUUUAUAUAAUCUGAAAGACUAAGUUAAGAGUUUACUCUUUUAUUUACGCUAAGGCAUGAUAAAUAUGUUAGAAUUUUUGCUAUAAAUUCUUGUGGGCUGGUUACAAUUAAUUUUGAUAUUUUUGUUUUACAAAAAAUAGGUUAAUGUUGUGAUCCAUUUGAUGAUAUUCAAGUUUAUUAAUAAUAUGAUUAAUUUUUUAUGCACUUUGAUUGCUUAAUUUUUAUCACUGUAAAAAAUAAUGAGUUUAAUCACUAAGUUCAUUAUCGAUAUUUUAAAUUCAUAUAAAGUAUGAGUUGUUCUUUUUUGCAUGAUUUGAUGAUGCAGAACAUUAAAAAAAACAACAUAAAAAUAAUAAAAUCUUAUUUUAUAAAAAAGAUUAAAAAAUCUAUUAAAUAUUUAAGAACAUCAAUUAAAUAAACAUAAAAUUCUAGAACUUAAUGCUUAAAAAAAAUUAAACAAAUUUUUUAAUUAAUAAAAAGUUAAAAACUAACUAAAAUAUUUGAUAAAAAAUAACUGACUUUGUUUAACCAAGACAACUUGUGUAGUACUCUUUCAUUCUUGCAGUUUUAAGGUUGCUUUAGCUAUGGAAUGCCAGGAAAGACCAAAUUUUCAAUAAAAUGAAUUUAAUCAACCCCCGAUUAAUUUUUAGAAAAGCAGUUAUUUUGCCGUCGUAGUCUUUGUUGUAACAUACAAGCAUACAUCAUAUUUUAGUUACAUAUAUUUGAUCAGCAUAUAUAUAUAUAUACAAGCAUACAUCAUAUUUUAGUUACAUAUAUUUGAUCAGCAUAUAUAUAUAUAUAGUUUAUUAUUUACAUCAGCUCCUAGGUAGAAAACUUGAUCACAAAUUAAAAUAACAAGUACAAGAGUAGGCACUUAUCCUUUUUUGUUCUUUCAAGCACUGAAGCAUUCGACAAGCAUGGAAACUGAAGCCUCGGAAUACAUCAUCCUAGGUGUGUGAACUUGCACGUGUUGUUGGCCAGCAACCACAGCCAACCCAGGUGAACUCUUCUCCUUUCCUUGAAUUCCCUGGCUAGGUUCACGGUGAAUCCAGCCAGCAUUAGAGAAAAUUGUCUCACCCUUUUCCUUCAGCUUGGUCCACAUGUCCCUUGGUUCAAACAUGACUAAAGGCUUAUACAGAUGUAUAAAGUAGAGUGAUCAGCAAAAUAUGAACUGAAUUCAAGACUUAUAUAAUAAGUAAGAACACUUGGGAUAUGUUUAGUUUAAUUGAAUCUGUUUGGU